rnacentral:lncRNA from 1 species
GGGAACGACGCUGCUGAGAUCAAGCUCCGGAUAUAGACCUUGGACUGUGCUCCGGGCGUCCUCAUACCCCACUCGGUACGAGAUGAAACUGCUCUCCAAGAGUUCCUCCCGAUAUUCGUCGGAGCCGCGGAAGUCCUCCACAACCCGACCUAUUGCCUCUUUCGCCGACUCUGCCUCCGCCCUCGCUAUGUCUGCAUCGGCUUGAGCGGAGGACAAAUUCUCCUCGGCCUUGGCGAGAUUUCCCAAACUUACUCGGAGCUGCUCGCGUUUGGCUUUGAGUUCACCGACGUAGUCAUCCCACUCGUGGCGC